rnacentral:rRNA from 1 species
GGGUUGUGAGGUUAAGCGACUAAGCGUACACGGUGGAUGCCCUGGCAGUCAGAGGCGAUGAAGGACGUGCUAAUCUGCGAUAAGCGCCGGUAAGGUGAUAUGAACCGUUAUAACCGGCGAUUUCCGAAUGGGGAAACCCAGUGUGAUUCGUCACACUAUCAUUAACUGAAUCCAUAGGUUAAUGAGGCGAACCGGGGGAACUGAAACAUCUAAGUACCCCGAGGAAAAGAAAUCAACCGAGAUUCCCCCAGUAGCGGCGAGCGAACGGGGAGGAGCCCAGAGCCUGAAUCAGCAUGUGUGUUAGUGGAAGCGUCUGGAAAGGCGCGCGAUACAGGGUGACAGCCCCGUACACAAAAGCGCACAUGCUGUGAGCUCGAUGAGUAGGGCGGGACACGUGGUAUCCUGUCUGAAUAUGGGGGGACCAUCCUCCAAGGCUAAAUACUCCUGACUGACCGAUAGUGAACCAGUACCGUGAGGGAAAGGCGAAAAGAACCCCGGCGAGGGGAGUGAAAAAGAACCUGAAACCGUGUACGUACAAGCAGUGGGAGCACCCUUUGGGGUGUGACUGCGUACCUUUUGUAUAAUGGGUCAGCGACUUAUAUUCUGUAGCAAGGUUAACCGUAUAGGGGAGCCGGAGGGAAACCGAGUCUUAACCGGGCGUUAAGUUGCAGGGUAUAGACCCGAAACCCGGUGAUCUAGCCAUGGGCAGGUUGAAGGUUGGGUAACACUAACUGGAGGACCGAACCGACUAAUGUUGAAAAAUUAGCGGAUGACCUGUGGCUGGGGGUGAAAGGCCAAUCAAACCGGGAGAUAGCUGGUUCUCCCCGAAAGCUAUUUAGGUAGCGCCUCGUGAAUUCAUCUCCGGGGGUAGAGCACUGUUUCGGCUAGGGGGCCAUCCCGGCUUACCAACCCGAUGCAAACUGCGAAUACCGGAGAAUGUUAUCACGGGAGACACACGGCGGGUGCUAACGUCCGUCGUGAAGAGGGAAACAACCCAGACCGCCAGCUAAGGUCCCAAAGUCAUGGUUAAGUGGGAAACGAUGUGGGAAGGCCCAGACAGCCAGGAUGUUGGCUUAGAAGCAGCCAUCAUUUAAAGAAAGCGUAAUAGCUCACUGGUCGAGUCGGCCUGCGCGGAAGAUGUAACGGGGCUAAACCAUGCACCGAAGCUGCGGCAGCGACACUGUGUGUUGUUGGGUAGGGGAGCGUUCUGUAAGCCUGUGAAGGUGGCCUGUGAGGGUUGCUGGAGGUAUCAGAAGUGCGAAUGCUGACAUAAGUAACGAUAAAGCGGGUGAAAAGCCCGCUCGCCGGAAGACCAAGGGUUCCUGUCCAACGUUAAUCGGGGCAGGGUGAGUCGACCCCUAAGGCGAGGCCGAAAGGCGUAGUCGAUGGGAAACGGGUUAAUAUUCCCGUACUUGGUGUUACUGCGAAGGGGGGACGGAGAAGGCUAUGUUGGCCGGGCGACGGUUGUCCCGGUUUAAGCGUGUAGGUGUGUGUUCCAGGUAAAUCCGGUUCACUUUAACACUGAGGCGUGACGACGAGGCACUACGGUGCUGAAGCAACAAAUGCCCUGCUUCCAGGAAAAGCCUCUAAGCAUCAGGUAACAUCAAAUCGUACCCCAAACCGACACAGGUGGUCAGGUAGAGAAUACCAAGGCGCUUGAGAGAACUCGGGUGAAGGAACUAGGCAAAAUGGUGCCGUAACUUCGGGAGAAGGCACGCUGACACGUAGGUGAAGUGAUUUACUCAUGGAGCUGAAGUCAGUCGAAGAUACCAGCUGGCUGCAACUGUUUAUUAAAAACACAGCACUGUGCAAACACGAAAGUGGACGUAUACGGUGUGACGCCUGCCCGGUGCCGGAAGGUUAAUUGAUGGGGUCAGCGCAAGCGAAGCUCCUGAUCGAAGCCCCGGUAAACGGCGGCCGUAACUAUAACGGUCCUAAGGUAGCGAAAUUCCUUGUCGGGUAAGUUCCGACCUGCACGAAUGGCGUAAUGAUGGCCAGGCUGUCUCCACCCGAGACUCAGUGAAAUUGAACUCGCUGUGAAGAUGCAGUGUACCCGCGGCAAGACGGAAAGACCCCGUGAACCUUUACUAUAGCUUGACACUGAACAUUGAGCCUUGAUGUGUAGGAUAGGUGGGAGGCUUUGAAGUGUGGACGCCAGUCUGCAUGGAGCCGACCUUGAAAUACCACCCUUUAAUGUUUGAUGUUCUAACGUGGACCCGUAAUCCGGGUUGCGGACAGUGUCUGGUGGGUAGUUUGACUGGGGCGGUCUCCUCCUAAAGAGUAACGGAGGAGCACGAAGGUUGGCUAAUCCUGGUCGGACAUCAGGAGGUUAGUGCAAUGGCAUAAGCCAGCUUGACUGCGAGCGUGACGGCGCGAGCAGGUGCGAAAGCAGGUCAUAGUGAUCCGGUGGUUCUGAAUGGAAGGGCCAUCGCUCAACGGAUAAAAGGUACUCCGGGGAUAACAGGCUGAUACCGCCCAAGAGUUCAUAUCGACGGCGGUGUUUGGCACCUCGAUGUCGGCUCAUCACAUCCUGGGGCUGAAGUAGGUCCCAAGGGUAUGGCUGUUCGCCAUUUAAAGUGGUACGCGAGCUGGGUUUAGAACGUCGUGAGACAGUUCGGUCCCUAUCUGCCGUGGGCGCUGGAGAACUGAGGGGGGCUGCUCCUAGUACGAGAGGACCGGAGUGGACGCAUCACUGGUGUUCGGGUUGUCAUGCCAAUGGCACUGCCCGGUAGCUAAAUGCGGAAGAGAUAAGUGCUGAAAGCAUCUAAGCACGAAACUUGCCCCGAGAUGAGUUCUCCCUGAGACUUAAAGUCUCCUGAAGGAACGUUGAAGACGACGACGUUGAUAGGCCGGGUGUGUAAGCGCAGCGAUGCGUUGAGCUAACCGGUACUAAUGAACCGUGAGGCUUAACCUUACAACGCCGAAG